rnacentral:rRNA from 1 species
UGCAGCCAAUUAGGUGAACCGCGAAUGGCUCAUUAAAUCAGUUAUGGUUCCUUAGAUAAUACUCCAAGUUACUUGGAUAACUGUGGUAAUUCUAGAGCUAAUACAUGCAAACAGAGUUCCGACUCGAGAGGGGAGGAACGCUUUUAUUAGAUCAAAACCAAUCGGUCGCCGGCGUUCGCGCUGCGCGCAUCGUAUUGAUUUGGUGACUCUGAAUAACCACUUAGCAGAUCGCACGGUCUCGUACCGGCGACGCAUCUUUCAAAUGUCUGCCUUAUCAACUGUCGAUGGUAGGCUCUGCGCCUACCAUGGUUGUAACGGGUAACGGGGAAUCAGGGUUCGAUUCCGGAGAGGGAGCCUGAGAAACGGCUACCACAUCCAAGGAAGGCAGCAGGCGCGCAAAUUACCCACUCCCGGCACGGGGAGGUAGUGACGAAAAAUAACGAUACGGGACUCAUCCGAGGCCCCGUAAUCGGAAUGAGCACAACUUAAAUACUUUAACGAGUAUCCAUUGGAGGGCAAGUCUGGUGCCAGCAGCCGCGGUAAUUCCAGCUCCAAUAGCGUAUAUUAAAGUUGUUGCGGUUAAAAAGCUCGUAGUUGGACUUGUGUCCCACGCCGUCGGUUCGUCGCCCGUCGACGUAACCGCACGGUUAUGUGAGUGGGACGUCCAGCCGGUGGGUCGUCAGGUCGCGCGCUCAGCUGGCCGCGCCCCUUGGCGGUGUCCAAUCCGUGGCCUCGCCGUGACGUGUGUCGGGCGGCGGCGGUCUUCUGGCCGUCUCCCCUGGCCCGUCGCUAAAAGCGGCGUGUGUUGCGGGGCCUGCCUCGUAGGGUGUCGCUGUGUCGGCGCGCGCGGUGCCGGACCCAUGUUACUCGUCUCGGUGCUCUUAAUCGAGUGUCUUGACGGGCCGGCUCGUUUACUUUGAACAAAUUAGAGUGCUUAAAGCAGG